rnacentral:rRNA from 1 species
UACAGAGGUCUCAAGCGUUGUUCGGAUUCAUUGGGCGUAAAGGGUGCGUAGGUGGCGGGGUAAGUCAGGUGUGAAAUUUCGGAGCUUAACUCCGAAACUGCAUUCGAUACUGCGGUGCUUGAGGACUGGAGAGGAGACUGGAAUUUACGGUGUAGCAGUGAAAUGCGUAGAGAUCGUAAGGAAGACCAGUGGCGAAGGCGGGUCUCUGGACAGUUCCUGACACUGAGGCACGAAGGCCAGGGGAGCAAACGGG